UCUCCGUUGGUGAACCAGCGGAGGGAUCAUUACCGAGUUUUCAACUCCCAAACCCCAUGUGAACUUAUACCAUUUACAACCGUUGCUUCGGCGGGUUCUCGCCCCGGGCUUUACACCCCGGAACCAGGCGGCCCGCCGGGGGACCCAAACUCUUCGUUAUUUACUGGCCUCUCUGAGUAACUUAUACAAUAAGUCAAAACUUUCAACAACGGAUCUCUUGGUUCUG
rnacentral:misc_RNA from 1 species